AACUGCGAGUAGCACAUCACUCGCCUCACGAGUCGAUGAAGAAUGCAGCCAGCUGCGAGACUUGGUGUGAAUUUCAGAACACUUUUAACACAGACUUUUUGAAUGCACAUUGUGGUCUCAGGUGAUACGCCUGUUUGAGGGUUG
rnacentral:rRNA from 1 species